rnacentral:tRNA from 2 species
AGCCCGGUGGUGUAGCGGUCAAGCAUGGGGGCCUCUGGAGCCCCUGACGGGAGUUCGAAUCUCCCCCGGGCUACCA